CAACCACUUGUGGAGGGAAUGAGCAGAACAGUAAACUCAGAAAAUCUCAGGCCAAAUGCAGAAGAAACAAAGAAGAAAAAGCGAAAGAGAGGGCACAAAACCAGUGACAGUCUAGAGGUGCCGCCACCACUUAAUACUGAUGCAGAACCUCAUGUGGAGGGAGUGAGCGUGACAAUGAAUUCAGAAAGUCACGAGCCCAAUGCAGAUAUUAGCUGCUCACAAGAAACAAAGAAGAAAAAGCGAAAGAGAGGGCACAAAACCAAUGACAGCUUAGAGGUGCCGCCACCUCUUAAUACUGAUGCAGAACCACAUGUGGAGGGAGUGAGCAUGACAAUGAAUUUAGAAAGUCUCAAGCCCAAUGCAGAUGUUAGCUGCUCACAAAAAACAAAGAAGAAAAAGCAAAAGAGAGGGCGCAAAACUAGUGAAGUAAAGAGCUAUUAGUGGAAGUAAUGA
rnacentral:lncRNA from 1 species